rnacentral:rRNA from 14 species
GUCUACGGCCAUACCACCCUGAACGCGCCCGAUCUCGUCUGAUCUCGGAAGCUAAGUAAACGAUGAUACAAACAAAUAGCAGAAUAUUCUGCAGCCC